GUGCUCAGAGAUGGCCUCUUCUUAUCAGGGAAUGACUAGAGGAGGACUAAGGGAAGGAUUUAAUUUAUGUACAGUAAUGUAGGAAAAGUGACACUUCCCACCACCAGCCAAACCAUAUUCAUAAUGAAUGCAGUUUCUUUGUAGCUGUUCCACACAUCAGAGGGCUGCUGAGAGUGAGGAAGCUGAGCAGAGUCUACUGCAUACCCUGAGGAAUUUAUGCUAUUUCAGUAAAUUGUGCACACUUAUGCUGCAUGCAGUCUGGAGGCUUUUAAGCUUACAGAAAAUCCAGAUGCAGAUGUAUGCUUGAUUUCAGUGCCAAGCUGCCUCCUCUGUUUAAUAAAGGGUUUAAUACAAUUUAAACUGAAGAAGCAAAGAGCCUUAAGAUACCAGCACGAGAGACUCAGAAUCCUAAUUAAUUUUCUGUUGGUCACAGUUGUCAGAGAUUCUCUUCCUUGUGCCUCU